GAAAUGCGAUAAGUAAUGUGAAUUGCAGAAUUCAGUGAAUCAUCGAAUCUUUGAACGCACCUUGCGCUCCUUGGUAUUCCUUGGAGCAUACCUGUUUGAGUAUCAUGAAAUCUUCAAAGUAAAUCUUUUGUUAACUCAAUUGGUUUCUACUUUGGUAUUGGAGGUCUUUGCAGCUUCACACCUGCUCCUCUUUGUUCAUUAGAUGGAUCUCAGUGUUAUGCUUGGUUCCACUCGGCGUGAUAAGUUAUCUAUCGCUGAGGACACUGUAAAAGGUGGCCAAGGUAAAUGCAAAUGAACCGCUUCUAAUAGUCCAUUGACUUGGACAAUACUUUUAUGAUCUGAUCUCAAAUCAGGUAGGACUACCCGCUGAACUUAAGC
rnacentral:misc_RNA from 1 species